UGAGCCUGUUUACAUUACACAUCUCAGAACAUUAAAGUACAAACUGUACAAAAACAGAAACAUUGCACAUUUUCUUUUCCAGUCCAAUCCGUGUCCAAUCUCCAAACCUAAACCCUUUGUCUAGUCCAAUCACCACGGCAGUAGAUUUGUUAGUUGUACGUCGCUAAAAUGAGUCCAGGUGCUCCAAUGCUAAGACAUUAGUUCCACCUGCUACAUGUUCUAACCUGAAGA